AGGGUAUUAUCUUAAUGGUAAAGAGAAGCAUUACGGCCGCUUUAAUAUAAGUUCGAAUCUUAUAUACCUUU
rfam:Triticum urartu cultivar G1812 contig1449354, whole genome shotgun sequence.